rnacentral:rRNA from 1 species
ACUCAAAUGAAUUGACGGGGACCCACACAAGCGGUGGAGCAUGGGGUUUAAUUCGAUAGUAAGCGAAGAACCUCACCUAGGCUUGACAUCUAGCGAACCUCCCAGAAACGGGAGGGUGCCGCAAGGAACGCUAAGACAGGCGCUGCACGGUUGUCGUCAGCUCGUGCCUUGAGGUGUACUGUUAAGUCAGCGAACGAGCGCAACCCUCAUCCUAUGUUGUUUUUUCAUGGGAGACUGCCGCCUCCAAGGCGGAGGAAGGUGGGGAUGACGUCAAAUCAGCGUGGCCCUUAUGCCUAGGGCAACACCCGUGCUACAAUGGCCGGUACAAACCGUUGCGAAUCCGCGAGGAGGAGCCAAUCGGAAAAAGCCGGUCUCAGUUCGGAUUGAAGUCUGCAACUCGACUUCAUGAAGUUGGAAUCGCUAGUAACCGUAAAUCAGCUACGUUACGGUGAAUAUGUUCCUGGGUCUUGUACACACCGCCCGU